rnacentral:rRNA from 1 species
AAGCGUGGACGCCAGUCUGCGUGGAGCCGACCUUGAAAUACCACCCUUUAAUGUUUGAUGUUCUAACGUGGACCCGUAAUCCGGGUUGCGGACAGUGUCUGGUGGGUAGUUUGACUGGGGCGGUCUCCUCCUAAAGAGUAACGGAGGAGCACGAAGGUUGGCUAAUCCUGGUCGGACAUCAGGAGGUUAGUGCAAUGGCAUAAGCCAGCUUGACUGCGAGCGUGACGGCGCGAGCAGGUGCGAAAGCAGGUCAUAGUGAUCCGGUGGUUCUGAAUGGAAGGGCCAUCGCUCAACGGAUAAAAGGUACUCCGGGGAUAACAGGCUGAUACCGCCCAAGAGUUCAUAUCGACGGCGGUGUUUGGCACCUCGAUGUCGGCUCAUCACAUCCUGGGGCUGAAGUAGGUCCCAAGGGUAUGGCUGUUCGCCAUUUAAAGUGGUACGCGAGCUGGGUUUAGAACGUCGUGAGACAGUUCGGUCCCUAUCUGCCGUGGGCGCUGGAGAACUGAGGGGGGCUGCUCCUAGUACGAGAGGACCGGAGUGGACGCAUCACUGGUGUUCGGGUUGUCAUGCCAAUGGCACUGCCCGGUAGCUAAAUGCGGAAGAGAUAAGUGCUGAAAGCAUCUAAGCACGAAACUUGCCCCGAGAUGAGUUCUCCCUGAGACUUAGAGUCUCC